rnacentral:rRNA from 1 species
UACGGGGGGGGCAAGCGUUGUUCGGAAUUACUGGGCGUAAAGGGCGCGUAGGCGGCCUGUUAAGUCGAACGUGAAAUCCCCGGGCUCAACCCGGGAACUGCGUCCGAUACUGGCAGGCUUGAAUCCGGGAGAGGGAUGCGGAAUUCCAGGUGUAGCGGUGAAAUGCGUAGAUAUCUGGAGGAACACCAAUGGCGAAGGCAGCACUCUGGGACGUGACUGACGCUGAGACGCGAAAGCGUGGGGAGCAAACAGG